rfam:Clostridium sp. BL8 Contig58, whole genome shotgun sequence.
UCCACCGUGAGGUGGAAUCUGAAGGAAGCCAGCGGCAAAACUCUGGUCUGACGUACAGAAAUCACAUAUAAGGCUUACUUAAAUCGGGUGAGUUUGCUGAACAAAACAAAGCCCAAUGCUAUCCGAAGGUUUAAGAAGUAAAUGUGGCAGAUAGAUGGAGUGAAAGCGGUCGUU